CCUACGGGAGGCAGCAGUGGGGAAUAUUGCACAAUGGGGGAAACCCUGAUGCAGCGACGCCGCGUGAGUGAAGAAGUAAUUCGUUAUGUAAAGCUCUAUCAGCAGGGAAGAAAAUGACGGUACCUGAGUCAGAAGCCCCGGCUAACUACGUGCCAGCAGCCGCGGUAAUACGUAGGGGGCAAGCGUUAUCCGGAUUUACUGUGUGUAAAGGGAGCGUAGACGGCAGUGCAAGUCUGGCGUGAAAGGCGGGGGCUCAACCCCCGGACUGCUCUGGAAACUGUACGGCUGGAGUGCAGGAGAGGUAAGUGGAAUUCCGAGUGUAGCGGUGAAAUGCGUAGAUAUUAGGAGGAACACCAGUGGCGAAGGCGGCUUACUGGACUGUAACUGACGUUGAGGCUCGAAAGCGUGGGGAGCAAACAGGAUUAGAUACCCGAGUAGUC
rnacentral:rRNA from 1 species